rnacentral:rRNA from 1 species
CGGCGCACGGGUGAGUAACACGUAUCCAACCUGCCGUCUACUCUUGGACAGCCUUCUGAAAGGAAGAUUAAUACAAGAUGGCAUCAUGAGUCCGCAUGUUCACAUGAUUAAAGGUAUUCCGGUAGACGAUGGGGAUGCGUUCCAUUAGAUAGUAGGCGGGGUAACGGCCCACCUAGUCUUCGAUGGAUAGGGGUUCUGAGAGGAAGGUCCCCCACAUUGGAACUGAGACACGGUCCAAACUCCUACGGGAGGCAGCAGUGAGGAAUAUUGGUCAAUGGGCGAGAGCCUGAACCAGCCAAGUAGCGUGAAGGAUGGCUGCCCUAUGGGUUGUAAACUUCUUUUAUAAAGGAAUAAAGUCGGGUAUGCAUACCCGUUUGCAUGUACUUUAUGAAUAAGGAUCGGCUAACUCCGUGCCAGCAGCCGCGGUAAUACGGAGGAUCCGAGCGUUAUCCGGAUUUAUUGGGUUUAAAGGGAGCGUAGAUGGAUGUUUAAGUCAGUUGUGAAAGUUUGCGGCUCAACCGUAAAAUUGCAGUUGAUACUGGAUAUCUUGAGUGCAGUUGAGGCAGGCGGAAUUCGUGGUGUAGCGGUGAAAUGCUUAG